rnacentral:rRNA from 1 species
ACGCGUGGAACCUUACCAGGUCUUGACAUCCUCUGACAACCCUAGAGAUAGGGCGUUCCCCUUCGGGGGACAGAGUGACAGGUGGUGCAUGGUUGUCGUCAGCUCGUGUCGUGAGAUGUUGGGUUAAGUCCCGCAACGAGCGCAACCCUUGAUCUUAGUUGCCAGCAUUUAGUUGGGCACUCUAAGGUGACUGCCGGUGACAAACCGGAGGAAGGUGGGGAUGACGUCAAAUCAUCAUGCCCCUUAUGACCUGGGCUACACACGUGCUACAAUGGAUGGUACAAAGGGCAGCAAAGCGGCGACGCCUAGCAAAUCCCAUAAAACCAUUCUCAGUUCGGAUUGUAGGCUGCAACUCGCCUACAUGAAGCUGGAAUCGCUAGUAAUCGCGGAUCAGCAUGCCGCGGUGAAUACGUUCCCGGGCCUUGCACACACCGCCCGU